CCUUCCCCAAAUGUUUUAUAUAUUUAGCACAUGAUUGCUCUUCCCUUCCAAUACCAUCAUACCAACCAAAUCAACAUUUUCCAAACAAGACAACAACAAAAACCAAAUCACACCAAUAUCAAUAUGCAAUCCAAUUCUUUGAUAAACUCAACCCAAUUAUUCCAUCAAUUAUCAUCAACCAAAUCAAAUGGUUCAAAUUGCAAAAAAACCAAAUCUUUUGCUCCAAUUAUGGCUUCCAAAAGAGGAUCAGCUGACCCAAAUUUUGGGGGCAGAUUAGUUGAUGAGAACAUGAUAAUCCUAAGGAAAAGGAUCCAUGAGAUGAACAUGAUUGAGAAAAACUAUGAAGCACCUUCUAAUUGGAUGGAAUGGGAGAAACGUUAUUAUACAAACUAUGAUUCAAUCAUAUGUGAAGCAAUGGGAAUUUUGCAAACACAAUUGAUGAAUACUAGGCCAAGUGUUGCUCUUGGGGCUAUUGCUUUUGUUGCAAUUAGUGUCCCAACUUCCUCUAUUUUUAUUUUUCUUCAUCUUUUAGAAUUAGCUAAGUCUAUUUUAGCUGGGAUUAAUCUUGUUUAGCUAGCUUUUUAUGUGAUUAAUUAAUUUAAUGUUUUGAAUUAGUGGUUUGGUAUUUGGAAAAUAAACCAUCUAGUUCAUUUCAAAUUUAUAUUUUGGGAUUAGAUAUUAUACAUACUAAUACUAAUUGUUGUUACUUUUUUUGAUUUAUGAAAUAACAAUCUUAUAGUAUUCAUUUUGCUAUUUGAUUAAUUCUUUUCAUAGCAGCUCAUUUUAUUUGAGAAAUUCUCGAAAUACAUUAAUGAAGCUUAGGUUAAAAAUGUUGAACUAGAUGAAUACCAGAUCAUUAGUUGCCCAGUCAGACCCAAAGCUUUUUGAAAUUAUGGUCUGUUUAAAUUAACUUAUUUUUAAGUUUAUGUAAAACAACUUAUGCAAAUCAAUAAAUUUUCAUAUAUUAUUAUAAGUUUGUUAAGAUAAUUUAUGAAAAAAUAACUUAUAAAGAUACAAUUUUUAUCAAUAAGAACUUGUGUUUUGACAUAAAAAUUUAUUUAUUUGCAUAAACUUCUAUCUUUGUCAAUAAGAACUUAUGUUUAGAAAUAAAAACUUAUUUAUUUGCAUAAGUUUUUUUUUUCGUAAGCUCAAAAAUAAGUUAGAGUAGUGGUUAUUUACAUUGUAGUCCUUGGCCAUUUCUCUGAUUUCUGAUUCAGUAGCAAGCUACCGGAGAGGGAGAGGUAAACACACAGAGAUCGCAACUCAUCACACAAAAACGAAGAAAUCAAAGUAGAAAAUUAUUCGUCAAUCGUUUCAGUCCAUAGCUGAAACGAAUCAAAUGGAAUGAGCAAAGAUGUUACCAACAGUUUCCAAAGGACAUUCUUCUUCCUCUUCAUCUUCAUCGUCCUCUUGACCUAAUGCCACUCUUCUUCCUUACCUCCGCAGAAUUAUCAAGUGAUUUUGAGCGGCUUCAAUCAAUGCUUUAUGAACAUAUACUUCAGCCGACAAAUAUGAUAGCUAAAUUUUUUGACCGGUCUGUGUGAAGUAACAGAGACUACAACAUGAGAAAGCUUUAAUGAAAGUUUGGUUGUUUGUUUGACGAGUGUACUACCCCGAAAAUGCAUCAAUUUAGGUCUUCUACUACUAUCAAUUGAAGUUGAACUGUACUAAGUCAAGGUUGUUAGUGUAUUUUUAUGGUUAUUGAAUAGAAUUUGUUCAAAUGAAUACACUCAUUGCAA